AUGACUCUUCUUUCAGUUAUUCUGUUCUGUGCCUCAACAGCUGUGUUUGGAAAUGUAAUAAAACCAAAGACAAUCAAAGUUCUUAGUGAGGAGGGUUCAAGUGUUACAUUAUCCUGUGGUUUUUCUGACUAUGGACGUACAGAUUAUCUUCACUGGUAUCGUCAGUAUGGAAGAUCAAAACCUGAAUUUCUUGUACUCACCUACAGUAGUGCAAAAGGAGCUAAAGAGUCUGAUGUAGAUCCAAGAUUCACUGUUAACAUUACAGAAAGGGAACGUGUGGAUCUGAUCAUCUCCUCUGCUGCUGUAUCAGACUCUGCUCUGUACUACUGUGCUCUGCAGCCCACAGUCACAGGAAACACAUCAACUCUCUACAAAAACCUGUUACAAUGA